UUAGGGUAAUUUGAGUGAUAUCAACCGGGCAAGACUAAACACUUCAAUCGACCGGUUUUAUAUAACUGAUUCAACUAUGCAGUUCAUGAUUUAGUACAGCUACUAAGGGAAAUUCAGAACAGGUUCAGUUUAGACUAAGUUUGGUUCAAACUAUAUCAGUAGCUGAGAAGUUUCAGAACAAUAAUCUGAUCCGUCCAUCAGUUCAGUCCGGUUCAGAGACAAGUCGUCAGCUAAAUGAUUUAGGUGCUAGCGGACCAUGAACUGGACUAAUAUCAAUCCACAUAAGCCUUAAUCAAACUGAUCCAGAUAGGUCAUUCAUCAACCAAUAACCGGCUUCAUUCAGAACUGAUCUAACAGCAAGAAGCUAAGGCUUACCGGCUAUACUAAACUGAUUGGUGAACACAGCUGAUCCUCUCCUUCAAUCUUUACUGACACUGACCUGAUCAGAAUAAAGGUUCCAUGGUAGGUUUAAGAUCAGAAACAUAACAUGGCUUAGGUUUUAAUCAGACAUGAAGCUUCCUUAAAAACUGAUCCAAAUAAACUAAUUAUAUUCUUACCGAUUCAAACUCAAGACUGAUAAGUUGUGGACUGAUCUCAUGAAUCUCUUGAACCAUCUCAAAAUUUUCCACACACCACAACCACUGAUUCAAGGCACAAGAAGGUUAGAAACGGUCGUCCAGGC
rnacentral:lncRNA from 1 species